GCCAGCUGACCGCACACAGGAGCCACAGCUACGAGUUUGUGCCCAAAGCCCUGGUGGUCGUGAGGAAACAGCUGGAGGCCUGCGUCCAGCCCGUGAUGGCUCGGAAAGACACUCUGAAACACACGAUGCGGGACAUGGAAACCAGGUUGGAGUUCAUUCAGGGGAAUAAAACACUCCUGAGGAAGAACCUGACCACGUGUUACUUCGCCGUGGUUCAGAGUCUCAAGAACAGGGUGUCCAAAAUCUUUCAGGACGUGCUGG